UACAGAGGGUGCGAACGUUGCUCGGAAUUACUGGGCGUAAAGCGCGUGUAGGCGGAUCCAUAAGUCGGGCGUGAAAUCCCCAGGCUCAACCUGGGAACUGCGCUCGAAACUGUGGGUCUUGAGUGUCGGAGAGGAUGGCGGAAUUCCUGGUGUAGAGGUGAAAUUCGUAGAUAUCAGGAGGAACACCGGUGGCGAAGGCGGUCAUCUGGACGACAACUGACGCUGAGACGCGAAAGCGUGGGGAGCAAACAGG
rnacentral:rRNA from 1 species